GAUGAACGCUGGCGGUAUGCUUAACACAUGCAAGUCGAACGGACUCUUCGGAGUUAGUGGCGGACGGGUGAGUAACGCGUGAGAAUCUGGCUUUGGGUUCGGGACAACCACUGGAAACGGUGGCUAAUACCGGAUGUGCCGAGAGGUAAAAGAGAAAUUGCCUGAAGAUGAGCUCGCGUCUGAUUAGCUAGUUGGUGAGGUAAAGGCCCACCAAGGCAGCGAUCAGUAGCUGGUCUGAGAGGAUGACCAGCCACACUGGGACUGAGACACGGCCCAGACUCCUACGGGAGGCAGCAGUGGGGAAUUUUCCGCAAUGGGCGAAAGCCUGACGGAGCAAUACCGCGUGAGGGAAGAAGGCUCUUGGGUUGUAAACCUCUUUUCUUAGGGAAGAACAAAAUGACGGUACCUAAGGAAUCAGCAUCGGCUAACUCCGUG
rnacentral:rRNA from 1 species